rnacentral:lncRNA from 1 species
GGUUCCAGCAGCAACCGCCGGGCAGGGCCCCUCCCGACCGCGACCUCCUGUCCGCACCGUAGGGCAGCCGGCCGGGCCAGCCUCCCUCACAGGACUACCGAGGAAGAGGUAGGAUUUCACUCUGUCACCCAGGCGGGAGUGCAGUGGUGCGAUCAUAGCGGGGACUACAAGUGUGCACCACAUGCUUGUCUACGAACCUGAAGUAUUCUGAUGCAGUGGAGAGAGUGUAGAACUCUGGAGUGAAGAGAUCUGCCUGGAACCCUGACUCUAUCACUAGAUCAGGACCUGAAGUAGGUGGCUGCCCAUCCAGGUAUUCUACAGGCACUUGCCCGUGAAACCUUCACCACUCCUUGAAUCUGGUUCUGCAAAGUGGGACAGCUGAGACUUAGGCUAAGUGACUUACUGAGGCAGCAGUCAGCACCGUGUGGGACCAGCCCCCAUGCUGUUUCCCAAAUGGAGGCACCUUCCUGCAUACCUUGGGCGUGAUCUGUAACAGCUCAGAAAGCUUGGACACCAGCAGGGUGGCACCUAUAUGGGGAGCACCUGUCCGCA